AGUACCUUUAAAUCAGCCCCGUGAGGCUGGCAAGGUAGCGUGAAUAACAGAUCUGCCACACUUAGAACAGGGCCUUAGCCUAACCGUAUCCUGCUGGGAUAGCGGCGGUUAAGUCGACCCUCUAUGUGUGGCUGGUCUCAGGCUCCUUGCGUUGUUGGCAAGGAGCCUUUUUUCGU
rfam:Paenibacillus sp. JDR-2, complete genome.